rfam:Batrachochytrium dendrobatidis JEL423 supercont1.1 genomic scaffold, whole genome shotgun sequence.
GCCCGGCUGGCGCAAUGGAUAGCGCAUCCGCCUCCUAUGUUUAUUCAUUCGGCUGAAAGUGGAAGGUUGCAGGUUCGAGUCCUGCGUUGGGCG